rnacentral:misc_RNA from 1 species
UCUUCAGCAAAUUUUAUCAAAAUUGUCGUUCGUGGUCGGUGCUGCCCCUCCACAGGGACAAAAUGAGCUGUCACGACUGCUGGAAACCCUGCAUUUUCCAGAACUCCCCUUACAAUACCCGCAACAAAAGCUCCGCAGUUGAAAGCACCCAUAUCUUUUGGAAUUGAAAUGAAUCUGUUCACAAGGAGCUCCUUCUCACUAAUCAUAUAUUCACCUUCAUAUCAA